GCCAUUGGGAAUGUAACAUUUAAGUGCCAGGAAUAAGAUUUGGGAUCCUCAACAAACUCUAAGGCCAGUGCAGUGGCACACGCCUGUAAUCCCAACUAUUUGGGAUGCUGAGGCAGGAGGAUCGCUUGAGCCCAGGAGUUCAAGAGAGGCAAGACCAUCAAGUAGACCAGCACACUCCAAACAGAUCUUUGGAAAGAAGGCAUUGAGAGUGGACAGAGGGAGGAUGCAGACCCUGGGGCUGAAAGGAGAGAAAGUUGGGAAUCCUGCACAGGGUUGCCAAGCACUGGAACUCAACCCUGACCACAGGUGGCUCUUAGGGAAGCGAUUAAAAAAUGAUGCUCAAAGAAGUUAAAUAACCGGCCCAAAUUCACAAAAAAAGACAGGGUCUUGUUCUGUCACCCAGGCUGGAGUGGCAUGAUCAUGGCUCACUGCAACUUCUGCCUCCCUGGCUCCCAGCCUCAAGUGAUCCUCCCACUCCAGUCCCCUGAAGCAACUGGGACCACAGAGUAAUUUUAUGCUGAUUGAAGAAAAGAAGUAAACAGAGUUCCAGAAAGCAACUGCAAAUACUCAUUUUGGAAAAGAAAACAAAACAAAAACAAGGGAGACAUUUUAAAAGGUGCUAAAGCAACAGGACCAGUUGCCAGAGAGCUUAUUUUACCUCCCCAAAACAAGGUUGGUGUUUCAUCCUUGAGUUUAGUACACAGGAUUGUUCUUAUUCUUCUGCAGAUAGAGAGGUGCACUGCUUUAUGCUGCAAGUUGUCUAUAAGACAAGUUUUGUGAGUAUCAAAUAUUUGUAAGCAAAUCAAAUUUCUCCCCCAGUUGAAAUGAUUAUUUCAGAAGAAUUUCUUCUUUGUUUUGAAUUGGACUUCUGAGUUGGACUUCUUAGCAUGAUAAAGAAGAAAGAGCAUUAGAAUAAGAAAGAAGAUUAAGCUUCUUGUUUUGAUUAUGCCCAUAAUCAGCUGUGGGACCCCGGGCUAAUGCAUUCCAAAAUCCCACUGUUCUGUGACCUUGCUAUGUGGGGCAUCAGCCUCCUCAUCUCUAAUAUUUUGGAUUUAAGUUAGUUGAUUUUUAUGGUCCCGCAAUGGAAUUCUUUAAACAACUCCACUAAUCCAUGAUACUGUUGCUUUAAAAAUCUUGGUUUUAGCUUUCCUCUAAGGAAUUUAUAGUGACAAUUAUCUACUUUUUUUUUCUUAAAUAAAAAUAGAGGUGGGGUUUUGCCAUGUUGCCCAGGCUGGUCUCAAACUCUUGGGCUCAAGUGAUCUGCCCACCUUGGCCUCCUAAAGUGCUGGGAUGACAGGUGUGAGCCACUGUACCCGGCCAGACCAUAUGUCUCUAGCAUUUUGAUAACAUUCUCUACAAUCUGGGCCCUGUAUAACUCCCCAGUCUUCAGACUACUACUCUCUAUGCUCACUUCUUUGGCGAUUUUAUACUCUUUGCCAAUUUAGAUGCCAUUUGUUUUUUCGUUUCCAGUAGAUUAGUAUGUCCAACCCAGAUUUUGGUAAACCCUAGACUCAUUCUACAGUCUGUGACAUCUCCAUUUGGAUUUCUUCUCGGCAUCUCAGACUCCAUAUGUCUAACCUGGAAUGCCUGAUCUCCAUUGCCUGCUAAACCGGCUUCUCUCACGGCUCUCCCAUCUCGGGGCCCAGCAUCUCAGACCUUUCCCUUGCUUACACCAGACAUUUUGCUGUUAUCUGUACCACCUCCUUCUCGUGCAGUCUACUUGAUGCCACCUAAUUGGUAUCCCUGGCUUCUGCCCUUGUUCUCUUAACGAAUCAUUUUCCAAACAGCAGCCAGAGUGAUCCUUUCAAAAAUGGAUUCAGAAAUCAUGUCACUGCUCUGCCCAAAGUUCCCGAAUGACUUCCCAAUCACUCAGAGCACAAGCUGACGCUCGACACAUCUGGGCCCCGUAAGCUUUUCAUUUCUGCUCCUCCUCCUUUUGCUCACUCUGCCCCUGCCACAUUGGUCUCCUGCUUUCCCGGAACUUGCCCAACAUGUUCCUCCCUCAGGGCCUUCACAUUUGUCAUUUCCUGUCCUAUGAUGCUCUUCCUGCAGAUAUCUACAGCAGCUCCCCGCUGCUCCUUUUGCAGGUUUUUGUUCAGAUGUCAUCUUCCUGGUGAGCUCUUCCCUGAACAGCUUCUCACCCUCUCCACCUUGCCCCCGGGACUCCCUUUGACCUUUCUCGGAUUGUUUUCCCUGUAACUCUUGCCACCACCUCAUACAGGGCUUCUCAAGCUUGGCAUGAUUGGCAUUUUGGGACAGUUCUUUGUUGCGGGCUAUUAUCCUGUGCCUUGCAGGAUGUUUAGCAGCAUCACCACCCUCGACCCACUCAAUACCUGCAACUUUCCUCCCUAGGUUGUGACAGCCAGAAAUGUCUCCAGACACUGCCAAAUGUCUCCUGGGGGACAAAACCACCCCUGGUUGAGAAUCUUUGAUAUAAUGUAAAUAUGCAUUUUACCUAUGUAUUUGUUUAUUGUUUCUCCCUUCCCCACCAAUAAAAUAUAAUCUCCAUGAGAACAGGAAUUUUUGUGUCUAUUUUCCACUGAUGUAAUGCAGGCACUCUGAAUAGGGUAUGAUGCAUAGUAGGUGCUCAAACAGAUAUUUCACUGGUGAAUAAAUGAAAUGUGCUCUGACCUUGUUCCUCUGUGCUCAUUAAGCUCUAGCCACACUGACCUUUCUUCCACCUCUCAGACAUCUGAAGCUCCUUCUCACCUUUCAGUCUUUUUCUUUCAGAUCUCACUCCUGGAAAGCUCUAUUCGCAGGUCUCUGUUUACUUGUUACUCAGGUCCAAUAACACCUGCUUAGAGAGGCUUCCCUGAUCACCGUAUCCUACAUGACCCUCCCUGCCAGCCAGAGUCACUCUCUAUAUUGUUACUGUGUUUUAGUUUCUGCAUUACAUUUGUCUUGGAAAUUAUCUUGUUUACGUGGCAGGUGUGCAUCUUGCUCCCUUAAAUGAAUGCUCCUUGACCACUCCACAUUAUCUGCUUUGUUUAUUAACGGCAGUAAUCUGAAACAGUAGUCUAAAACAGUGCAAGGUCCAUCGUUGAUGGGCUGAUUAAAUAAGUAUGCCUGUCUUUUAAUCAAUUCAGGGUGGAAGAGAGUCUCUAUAGAAAGGGUUUAAGGGCUGUGUCUGUCAAGGUCCAGUAGCAAAAAAAAAAGAAAAAAGAAAAAAAAAAGAGUCUGCUCUAGCUAAUUUGAACAGAAAGGGAUUAAUUAGAGAAUGUGGUUCACCGUCGAGAAGGCUGCAGCAACAUCCUCCACAGUGAGCUUUCAGGAACCACCUUGGAAACCACACACUGACUGGGCCACCAAAGUACAGACUGCUCUUCUUUGAUUGGGAGAACUACAGCCAAGCUGGGACACUGAGGGGUCAGCUGCUGGGUCUGGGACCAAAUGACCACUUCUGGGAAGAUCACACCUGCAUGAAAAGGAGGUCAGCACUACUGGGAACUGACAAGAUCAAGAGACUGGGGUAAUGACUCAGUGUGGUUCUCCCCGUGUACAUGUUAAUAAAAUGUAUAUCCCUUUUCUCCAAUUAAAAAAAAAUUCCCUAGC